GUUACCUGCCAGACGGAAGAUUCAGCCAUUUCGAGCGAGUUGUGCGCUCUCUUGUAUUUGUACCCUUUAGGGAACCUAACCCAUUUUCCACAUCGUACAUAUCUUAAGGAAUAUUAACUGUAACUCGCAGUCAACAUAAAAGUGUCUCGGUCAUUCUUUAGCCAUUUUUUAGUAAUUGUCGCAAUCUGGCUGGGUGCGGUUGAGAAACUACAGCACGACGGAUUUAUAUGGAUAUUUAUAGCUACGAUCUUCAUCGUUUUUAAGCUCCAGAAAUUACUGAAUUCUUCAAUCAAAAUGGGAAACGCGUAUUUAAUGUUUAUUGUCUUAUUAUCCGUGGAGGGUGUGUUUGGUGCUGAGGCAGAUGCAUUGAAGACAAUAGAAUCGAUGGAGGGAGAUUCUGUCAAGCUAGAAACGUGUGUUACCAAAAUACAGAAAGAUGAUGAGGUGGAGUGGAAGUUUGAACAUCACAUCAUAGCUACGAUCAAGAGCAAUAAUGUCUUAUUAUAUGACACUGAUGAUGCAAAAUUCAAAGACAAACUACACCUAGACGGUCAAACUGGAGAUCUAACCAUCAGAAACACCAGAACCAAACACUCUGGGCUUUAUGAAGUGAAGAUCGUCAAUAUCACCAACCAAACAAUACUCAAGAGAUUCAGUGUCACUGUCCUUGAUGCAAUCCCUAAGAAAGUGUCAGUAACGGAGGGAGAUUCUGUCACUUUACAGCAUGAUAUUGCUGAUAUAGAGAUUUACGAUAUGAUCAAGUGGAAGUUUGAAGAUGAAGCGACUCCCAUAGCUCAAAUCAACAAACAGACCAGUAAAAGCCCCUCAUAUGAUGAAGCUGAUGAGAGAUUCAAAGACAGACUGCAGCUGGAUCAGACCGGAUCUCUGACCAUCACAAACACCAAAUCCACAGAUGCUGGACUCUAUAAACUACAGGUGACGAGUCAAAACAUAGCGGCCAAAUACAGGAGCUUCCGUGUUACUGUCAGUGAAUCGGGUCUGCCCACAGGUGUUAUAGUGUUCAUAUGUGUCAUAUGUGUUAUUGCGUUGAUCGUGUUGGUGGUUGGGAUUUGGUGUCAGAAACAGCGACGUGAAAGAAGUCAAACACCACAAGGUCAGCAAGGCCCAUAUUAACUUCAUCUGUUCCUACAAUGAGGAAAAUCGAAGCGUUAUUGUGCGAAAGCAAAAUGAAGAUAAAGGGAAUGGGGUACAGGAUCCAUUGAAAGGACAGCAGUAGUUGAAAGCCUCUGUAACAUGAACACGAGCUGUGGUUGAAAUCGUGAACGACUUAUUUGGCAUAAACUGAGAACAUAUAUGUUGUACAUUUGCUGGAAAGGUUUGCACUACAUGUUGAUCAAUGAUCCUGUUAUUUUAUGGUACAAUUCUUUGUUUUAAAAGCAUUUAAUUACCUGUUUUCAGUACAUAUAUAAUCAUGUUGGCUGGUGGGACUGUUCACUGCAGCUUUUUUAGGUGGAUGUUUUCAAGGUCAAAUGACAACGGCAGGUUUCAUCUUUAAAAAAAAAAUUGUUUUCCUUAGUGAUUCAAAUCAUGCUUUAGAGGGCUAAAGAGGGAAUUGUGUGAUGGAUGCUUUUUUCAUGUGCAGGACGAGCCUGUUUUGGGGUAAUAAUUUGCACAUGUUUAUUUUCUGAAGUCUUUUUUUUUCAUAGUGUUAUGGAAACUGCCUCAUUUUUGCUCUGUAAGUAUAUUUUAAGAUAUAUUUUACUCACUUUGAUACUCUGGUUACAUUGGGAUAGGUUAUGAUAAACUGCUGCUUACUUGCCUUUAGUGAAUGCCGAUAGGGGUGGUGAAUAUUUCCAGUUAUGAAGGCCUGCAUAUUUUUUUUUUAAUGUGAAAUUAUAGAAAUUAUUAAGGAUCAGCAAUUAAAAUGAAUGUCAAAGUUAUUGCACUUAUUGUAAAGCCAUUUAAUGGCCUAAUUGAUUUGAUGUGUAGCCAAUUUUUUUUGUUAUACAAAUCUCUGCUAGGCUGUAAUUGAAAAUUAUGAUGUCUUGGUGCCUUUUUGUUUGUAUAUUGGGAAAUAAUUGGAAUAAUAAAAUAUGUGCAGCAGCGCAACAACUA